ACUGUAGACUUUCAAGAGAAUGGAAAAGGCAACAUUUCUUAAGAUUUUCUUGGUCUCCCUUUUGCUUAUUUUGUCUGGACAAGGAAGUCAUGCGGCAGGAUGCACUAAAGAUGCCGAUUGUGCAAAGGCUGUGAGAUGCAUAGAUGCACAUCCCAUAUGUAACUUGGCUACACAUCAAUGUGGCUGUCCACAAGCUCCACCAGCUAAACAUGGAACGACUCACCAAAACUGAUUUAUGUUUGUUUUACUGUGCAAAUUUGAACCAUUAUUUAUGAUUUUCCUAAGGUUCAAUAAAGGUCACUUCAUUUCA